CGUGGCUCGACAGAGCAGGCUGGACGGUCUCCGUGUUGCUUACCGUCCAGUCGCGGAAAUCGCUGAUAAAAGAAUACGCGCCAGUGUCGUUGAUCCGAUGUCAGUAACCGCGGCUGGGCCAGUCGUUCUUGUUGCUACAAUAUUACGGUAACUGGCGUUCCGACCGUGUCAGUGCCAAUGGUUUGAAAAAUCUGAUUUUACGACAUGACCAUAGAUAAUAAUAUCGAUGAUAUUAUCUACGGACACGACGACCUACGGUAUAGAGAAUAUUAUAGAGUUCUCUGGAUUAUCUGUAAUAUUAUUAUAAAAUUUAUAAGCGCCAAAAAUCAGAUAAUAUGAUUUGUGUUAUUAUAGUUCGUCAGUAGUUGUAGUCAGUACCUUAGAGUAAGUACUCACCGUCACUCAACACCCGCAUUUGUUAUCUCCGUCUUACGAGUGCGUAAUAUUGCAAAUUUACACUCAAGCUUCAGAAAAUCACUUUUAGCUCCGUUAGUUUAAAAAUUACAGUGGAUAGACCUAUUAUGCAAUUUGACGGUAAGAACAUUAUCUGUGUUUGCGUGUUGUUUUUUUACGAUUAUUAAGUUUUUUGGCGAGCUAUGAGUAUUUUUAAUUUACGUUAUAUCAUAUUAUAAUAUGCAUAACUUGUUAAAAAAAUGGAACUACCUAUCGUAAAAAAAAUCGACUUACAAAAACAGAUAGUGUUGUCAUCAACAAGUUUCGUAAUAGGUCUAUAAGUCUAUUCACUCUAAUUUUUAAACUCUCAGUGCCAUACGUGAUUUGCUGGACGUAAAUUUGCCAUGUUACGGACUUGUAAGACAGACACAACACAUGCGGGUGAAAAAAAAGACCUUGGCCUGUGGUGAUGCCAUUGCAUAAUGUGUCUGGGCACUGAAAAGGUUAAACAAUUAAUAUUUAAGAAAGUUGUUUUCCUAAAAAACAAUGUUUACGUCGUUAGAUUUAAUUUUUAUUGCCGUCAUGUGCUGCAGCCCUAAAAUCACUGUAUUGCACAUUUGUUUGGUCAAUUUUAGAUUAUAACUCAAUAAUUUAGUCUCCUUACGUAUCUGGUCCGAUUAAUUCUCUUGAAGCGAUCCAAAAUUGCUUUUUGAGAUUUAUUAGUAGGUAUUAAUGUAAAAUUGAACGUUUACCUCACACUUCAUAUAAACCUUUACUUUUUAACUUAAACCUUGAUGCUCUUCAAAUCAAUGGUUAAAACAAGAUGUAUGUUUUGUAUAAAAACUGUUGAAUAACUAUUAACAUAGUUAACUGUACGGAUUUAUUAUCUAAUUUAACGUUUUUAGUUCCUGGUUAUACUAAUAUUGACAGUCUGACACUUUUUAUGUGCCAGUCCAACGUACUUUAUAUGGUAAAAAUUCUCCAUUAAUUAAAACUAUGAAACAUGUAAAUAACUUUAAUAUUAAUAUUUUUAUUUGUAAUUCUAUUGAUUCUUUUAAUCUAUAUCUUAAUAAUUUAAUCACUUAACACUGCAUAUAUUUUGUUUGUAAUUUUGAUUCUCUAUUAUAUGUUAGUUAUUUAAUCACUUUAUUAUUGUAUCUUCACCACGAACAAAGAUAUAUCUUAUAUAUCUUAGUCUGUGAUCUCCACAAUACUUUAUGAUAAUUGUUUGAUAUUCUACAUAAUAUACUAUUGUAAUUGGGCUCGACCGCUUAAUAAUAAAUAAAUAAAUAAAAUAACUAAUAUAAGUAACAAAAAACUAAAAUAAUAUCUUUAAUGAUAAAUAUACUUAUUUUUUAAUUAUAAAAUAAAAUAAUAAUUUAAAAAUGAUAAUGAAUUUUUAUGUUGUAUGCCAUUUGGUGAAACAAGUUAGUCCUUUGCCACAACAUAAACUUAUUUGACAUUUUCCACACAUCAUAAAAGUAAAACUUUUGCAAUCUGGAUUUUUACAUCUAGUUUUUUUUUCACUUUCAAUUGGUCAAUGAUUUAAUUUAUCAGUUCUAACCUCUUUUGGUGGUGCAUGCUGGCCUAUUUUAGUGCUCAUUUUACCUUUUUUUAUAAUUUCUUCUUGCACAUCAGUAGUGGAAUGUCGACGUUUAGGGGUAUAGGUACUAAUUUUGCAGAGGAAUAAAGCAAGUUGUUCCCUAAACUUUACCAAUGAUAGUACACUAUUAUUUCCUUUCUGUUUAUGAAUUCUUUUAUGUAGAAGUCAAGAAUUUACUACAGUUACAUCCAAUAAAUGGUGGAAAACUCUUAUGUACCAUUUUCUACUCCUCAUCUUUAUCUUAUGAUGCCCAAGUAACCCAUCUAAUAAAUCAACACCACCCAUGUGUCUGUUAUAUACUUGUAUUAUAUUUGGAUAAUUAACCUCAAUUCUUUUUUUUUUCUGUCAAACCUACUUACUCUUACAACUGAGUCCAUAGCAGUAAAUGUCAACAGCAAACUUAUGAUUUUUGUAUCUUUCCAUGUGUGAUAUGACAGCAACUUUGUCUAUAUCUAACACUUAGGAAAUACAAUGGACAGUAGUGCCCCUAGGUUGUUUCAUUAGAACAGAAUCAUCUGGCAACAUUACAUUUUUUUAACCUAUUUCUUUUUAAAGUGCUUAAAGAUAUAUUUUAAAUAAGCCAAUAGUGGCAAUGUAGUAUAAUAAAUGUCAAAAAUAAUUUAAAAUGUUGAUUAUUAGGUAUAACUCUACUAAGGCGCAUAACAACAUUUGCACUAGCACCUAGGUCUGGCCAACUUUUCUACUUUCACUAUUAUUUUCUUGACCUGAAUAAAACUCAAAAUUAUAUGUAAAACCUGAGACACCACUAAGAACAAAAAACUUGUAACCCCAUUUAUAAGGUUUAUUGGGUAUAUAUAGUUUGAGUGAACUUGGUGCUUUUGUAAGAUAUAUUUGUUCAUCAACUCUCAAGUUUUCUUCAAUUGGUGUAGAACUAAAUCUUUUUCUUAACGUUUCAAUAAGUGGCCUAAUUUUAUGUAUUUUAUUUGUCAGGACCAGUAGAGCUUGACAAAUUAUCAUUAAAAUGAAGAUUAGCUCUAAUUCUUUCAAAUAUAUUUAAAGUUAUUGUAGUUUUUAUUAAAUCAUUAUCUAAAACUGGAAACUAAUAAUUUCUAAUAUUAAAUGUAUUUACCAAACUCAUAAUUAUAAGAAUACCAAUAUAUUUUUGUAAGUCUUCAUUAUUAAUUUUUAAGGGGGUACUAGAGUUAUUCUGUACACCAUAUUUAUAUGUUUCACAACAUAUAUGAUCUAAUAAAUUAAAGGUAAAAAAAUAUUUGAAUAUCUGAAAGGGUGUUUCUAAUUCAAGGGUAUCACUAGGUAAAUUGAAAUUGCCAAGAUAAUGUGUAUUUAUUACUGGAAAGUUACUUUCAGUCCAAACAACAUUUUUCACUUCAAUUGGAUGUAUAGAAGGUACUGAUACAAUAGAUGGGAUUGUUUGUUUAGGUUGUCUAGUUUUUUUAUUACUUGAAACAUUUUGUUUUCUAAUAACUGGUUCAGUGGAUGUUGAGGGCGAUGAAAUAUUUAUAUCAGAAAAAUUAUUAUUAUCUACAACAGCUUCAAGAAUAGGAAAUAUAAUAUCUUCAUCGACAAUAGAUUCAGAAGAAAACUGUUGAGAUAUUAAUCCUUCAACGGUAGUAAUAUCUGGUUCUUCUAAUAAAUUACUAUAUUUACUAUAUAAAUCUAGUUGAUCAUCAUCGACGUUACUUUCAAAAUCAUUUUCAUAUCCUGAUGGUAUAUCUAAUAACUGUUAUAUGUCACUAUAGUCUAUUUUAUUAGCCAUAUAAAUUAAUAUUCCUAAAAAGUACACUAAAAACAGUCGAAAACUCAAAAUAAUAUUAGCAGUUGAACAGCGAUAGUCAGUGAAACGCAAGUUGUUGGCUAUUAGCAUGAACUAAGAUAUACGGUACAUUCAUGGCUAUUAGUAAUUAUUUGUUUAUAUCACAAAUAUCGCAUAUAUUACAAUAUAGUCGCACGAUUAAACGGCCCCACAGGUUUGAACAAAACAAUUAAAACUUUUCGAUAUUUUUUUAAAAAUUGUUCUAGGACGAUAUCGUCAAACACAAAUUUCAAAUCGCCUCCCUAUUGGCGCGAUCAGUCGCCAACGCUGAUUUUUAGGCGCCAAUACGGGUUCCAAAACCAUCACUACAACAAACGUCAACACACAGUGCAGCCUGGGCAACGCGCGGCCAUGUCAGCAGUCGCCACCGCCGGACAGUGGCGGCGGAUACGAGGGAGGUGGCGACGGGACGAUCGCCCCCUCCUCGGGCUGUAUUUUCUAAUUCUCAUAUUAUAAAUAAUAUUAUAACAUUGGGCUGGAGCUCACUGAAAGCCGAUGUUUCAUUUGUGAAAAUCUCCCCCCCCCCAUCGGGUGACUUCUGGAUCAGCUCGUGUACCUCCGUCGACUCGGUAUACUAACCUACCGCAACGACCUUGUCGCCACUCGCCCCCGAGCGUACCACCACUGAGUCCGUGUCCGUCGAUCCGUUCGCGUUACCGUGCCGAUCGUGUUUGUUUGAGUGUGAGUGUAUGUGUUUGCCGUAGAUCGAUAAAACGCACGACGGCCUGCCCUGCAGCCGAACAAUUCUGUUGCUGCGCGCCUAUCACUGUCAGCGACGUUAUCACGACUCCGGUCCAAGACGAGUCGAUAUCGCUCACGUAUAACAGGUUGGCAUAAAUUUCUACGGUAUGGCGAUCACAAAAAUAUGCUGUAUAGGUGCUGGAUAUGUUGGAGGGCCCACUUGCAGUGUAAUAGCAAUGCAGUGUCCACAUAUAAAAGUCACGGUUGUAGAUAUAAGUGCUCAACGUAUAUCUCAGUGGAACUCAGAAAAAUUACCCAUUUACGAGCCCGGACUAGAUGAUAUCGUAAAAAAACAAAGAAAUGUAAACUUAUUCUUUUCUACUAACAUCGAGGAAUCUAUCCAAGAAGCAGAUUUAAUUUUUAUUUCUGUAAAUACUCCAACAAUGACAUUUGGAGUAGGCAAAGGACGUGCUGUCGACUUAACGUAUGUUGAAAACUGUGCUAGGACUAUUGCCCAAGUUUCAACUAGUAAUAAAAUUGUAGUGGAAAAAAGUACAGUAUCGGUACGAGCAGCGGAAAACAUAUUAAACAUUUUAAAUGCUAACGAUAAGCCAAAUGUAAAAUUUCAAGUACUAUCUAACCCCGAGUUCUUGUCUGAAGGUGUCGCUGUUGAAAACCUAUUAAAUCCAGAUAGAGUUAUUAUAGGACACGAAGAAACCGCUGAUGGCUUAUGGGCUUUUAAGGAGCUCAGUAAAGUCUAUUUGAAUUGGAUACCCGAAUCAAAAAUCCUCAAAACAAACAUUUGGUCUUCAGAACUCACCAAACUAGCGGCUAAUGCAUUUCUCGCUGAUCGAAUUUCUAGUAUAAACUCAAUUUCUGUAAUAUGUGAAGCGAUUGGGGCAGAUGUCAGUGAGGUGGCUAAAGGCAUAGGUCUCGAUUCCAGAAUUGGCCCCAAAUUUUUACAAGCGUCAGUCGGUUUCGGAGGCAGUUGUUUUCAAAAAGAUUUACUUAAUUUAGUUUACAUAUGUGAAUGCUUAAAUCUUCCACAAGUAGCUGUUUAUUGGCAACAAGUACUAGACAUGAACGUUUAUCAAAAAUCUCGAUUUUCGAAUAAAAUUAUUAAAUCACUGUGUAAUACGGUCACUGGUAAAAAAAUAACAAUGUUUGGAUUUGCGUUUAAAAAAGACACAGGUGAUACUCGUGAGUCACCUGCAAUAUACGUUGCUAAGACGUUACUCGACGAAGGAGCAAAACUUAAUAUAUACGACCCGAGGGUGGAACCAGGACAAAUCAAAAAAGACCUCACGCAUCUAUACGUUACUGAUAAUCCAGAAAAUGUAAUUAAGUCAAUCGAAAUUCACGAUAAUCCAUACAGAGCUUCACACUCGACACAGGCUAUUGUAAUAUGCACCGAAUGGGACGAAUUUGUGAACUUAGAUUACGAAGAAAUUUAUAAGCAUAUGAUAAAACCAGCAUUUAUUUUUGAUGGUCGUAAGAUUCUGAAUCACGAAACCUUGGCCACAAUUGGGUUCCAAGUUCAUACAAUUGGAAAACGUUACAAUACAAUAAAUAUGUCUUCGGAACUGACCAAACUAGUAAAUUCAAAUUGUGUUAUGCGGCUAAUGCAUUUCUCGCUCGACGGAUUUCUAAUAUAAACUCAAUGUCUGUAAUAUGUGAAGCGACUGGUGCAAAUGUCAGUGAGGUGGCUAAAGGCAUAGGUCUCGAUUCCAGAAUUGGCCCCAAAUUUUUACAAGCAUCAGUCGGUUUCGGAGGCAGUUGUUUUCAAAAAGAUUUACUUAAUAUAGUUAAUAUAUGUGAAUGUCUAAAUCUUCCACAAGUAGCUGUUUAUUGGCAACAA